rnacentral:rRNA from 1 species
CAGCUGAUCGCACGGUCUUUGCACCGGCGACGCAUCUUUCAAGUGUCUGCCUUAUCAACUUUCGAUGGUAGUUUAUGUGACUACCAUGGUUAUAACGGGUAACGGAGAAUAAGGGUUCGACUCCGGAGAGGGAGCCUGAGAAACGGCUACCACAUCCAAGGAAGGCAGCAGGCGCGCAAAUUACCCACUCUCAGCACGAGGAGGUAGUGACGAAAAAUAACGAGGCGGUUCUCUAUGAGGCCCGCUAUCGGAAUGAGAACAAUAUAAAUCCUUUAACGAGGAUCUAGCGGAGGGCAAGUCUGGUGCCAGCAGCCGCGGUAAUUCCAGCUCCGCCAGUGUAUAUCUAUGCUGCUGCGGUUAAAAAGCUCGUAGUUGGAUCUGCGUGCUAGGAACCGGU